GGUAGCUAGAGUCGAUUGCGAUCGCUUGGAUAAUUUAUCACUCAUUCUUCCAAGGUCGAAAGUGUUGACAGUAAACCCGAUUUUUUUCUUCUGUUUUGCAGAAUUUUAUUCGCUGAUGUCAUAGAUUAACAAGAUGCACUUUUGUUCUCCGGUUUUACAUUCAUCGAAAGUUUGUUUAUUGUUUUAAGAUGGUCAAUGUAGUUGCAUUUAAAAAUUGCUGUGUGGCAGUUUUUUAUAAUAAUAUGCAAUAUCAUAAUACAUUGAGGUUUAAUUGAAUGUUUACGAGUUGAAGCAAUUUCUAAUUCUAAACUGGAAGCAUCGCAUUAUAUGUAAGAGGCAAUAUUGCAGAAUACAUUUCAUAAAGUAGGUAUAUAAAACCGUCAUGUAUCGAAACCAACAUAUAAAUCUUAUUGAUAAACCCAUUAAAAAACACACGUCGCCGUGACUUUGUCAGUUUAACUUGUGAAGUUUCGUUUUGACGUUUGGAUUUGGUAUCGAAUAAUCCAGAUUGUUAUUUAAAAUGGCUACACCACGAAAAGACGGCGUCUUAUUGAGCGAUUGGAAGGAUAUUUCCUUAUCUCGAAUGGAUCACACCGAAGAAAUUGGCUUUUAUAUAAUCGUAGGGCAAACAACGACCAGACCAUUGGAACUCGGAUCAAGUGGCCAACGUUGAACCGGUAAUUUCUUUUUUAUUAAUCAUUUGUCAGGAAGUCGGUAGUGAAAUCUCUCGAAAGUUGUGACUGCCACUUACCGACGUAAUUCAUUUUUGCUCUAAUUUAUAGGAUUGCCGUUAAACAAUUUCUUAAAAUAAAUAUUAUUUUCAUAAAAAAUUUAUAUAUCCUUCAUAAAAAAACACUUCAAUUUGUU